UGGGGAAUAUUGCACAAUGGGCGCAAGCCUGAUGCAGCCAUGCCGCGUGUGUGAAGAAGGCCUUCGGGUUGUAAAGCACUUUCAGCGAGGAGGAAGGUGGUGGACUUAAUACGUUCAUCAAUUGACGUUACUCGCAGAAGAAGCACCGGCUAACUCCGUGCCAGCAGCCGCGGUAAUACGGAGGGUGCAAGCGUUAAUCGGAAUUACUGGGCGUAAAGCGCACGCAGGCGGUUUGUUAAGUCAGAUGUGAAAUCCCCGGGCUCAACCUGGGAACUGCAUUUGAAACUGGCAAGCUAGAGUCUCGUAGAGGGGGGUAGAAUUCCAGGUGUAGCGGUGAAAUGCGUAGAGAUCUGGAGGAAUACCGGUGGCGAAGGCGGCCCCCCUGGACGAAGACUGACGCUCAGGUGCGAAAGCGUGGGGAGCAAACAGAUUAGAUACCCUGGUAGUCCACGCUGUAAAACGAUGUCGAUUUUGGAGGUUGUGCCCCUUGAGGCGUGGNUUCCGGAGCUAACGNGUUAAAUCGACCGCC
rnacentral:rRNA from 1 species